rnacentral:rRNA from 1 species
AGUGAACGCUGGCGGCAGGCCUAACACAUGCAAGUCGAACGAACCUUUCGGGGUUAGUGGCGGACGGGUGAGUAACACGUGGGAACGUGCCUUUAGGUUCGGAAUAACUCAGGGAAACUUGUGCUAAUACCGAAUGUGCCCUUCGGGGGAAAGAUUUAUCGCCUUUAGAGCGGCCCGCGUCUGAUUAGCUAGUUGGUUGAGGUAAUGGCUCACCAAGGCGACGAUCAGUAGCUGGUCUGAGAGGAUGAUCAGCCACAUUGGGACUGAGACACGGCCCAAACUCCUACGGGAGGCAGCAGUGGGGAAUCUUGCGCAAUGGGCGAAAGCCUGACGCAGCCAUGCCGCGUGAAUGAUGAAGGUCUUAGGAUUGUAAAAUUCUUUCACCGGGGACGAUAAUGACGGUACCCGGAGAAGAAGCCCCGGCUAACUUCGUG